GUGUGUGUGGUGUAAAGAUGGGUGUAUGUGUGUAGAGUGUGUGUAGUGUGUGUGUGUGGUGUGGUGUAAAGAUGUGUGUGUUUGUGUGUGUUUGUGUGUGUGUGUAGUGUAAAGAUGGGUGUAUGUGUGUAGAGUGUGUGUAGUGUGUGUGUGUGGUGUGGUGUAAAGAUGGGUGUGUUUGUGUGUGUGUGUGGUGUAAAGAUGGGUGUAUGUGUGUAGAGCAGUGUUUCUCAAGCCGUCUGGCUUCAUCGGGGGUGCCGUCAAAAUAUUGCGCCUCACGUGCAUAUUUCCUUUCCAGAGUCAGCUCGUGUCGCGGUGUGUCCCAAUUCACAGGCAGCAUACUCUGAAGGAUGCGACCCACAGAGGCGGUGUAUUACUGCGCAGCUGUGACGCAAUCUGUCUUCGAAUACAGCCUCUGAAGGAUGCAGCCCCUAAAUUGGGACACACUGUAAAGUUUUUGUCCCCCACGCGAUGCACGCGCUAUUUUAUUUCAUAUUCCGCCAGCAACACCCCCCCCCGGGGUGCCUUGACAUCUCGCAUAUAUUUAAAGGGUGUCGUGAUAGAAAAAAGGUUGAGAAACGCUGGUGUACAGAGUGUGUAGUGUGUGUGUGUAGUGUAAAGAUGGGUGUAGUGUGUGUGUGUAGUGUGAAGAUGGGUGUAUGUGUGUGUGUAAUGUGUGUGUGUAGUGUGUGUGUGGUGUAAAGAUGGGUGUAUGUGUGUAGUGUGUGUGUGUGUGUAGUGUAAAGAUGGGUGUAUGUGUGUGUGUAGUGUAAUGAUGGGUGUAUGUGUGUGUGUGUGUGUGUAGUGUGUGUGUGUGUGUAGUGUAAAGAUGGGUGUAUGUGUGUGUGUAGUGUAAUGAUGGGUGUAUGUGUGUGUGUGUGUGUAGUGUGUGUGUGUAGUGUAAAGAUGGGUGUAUCUGUGUAGUGUGUGUGUGUGUUGUAAAGAUGGGUGUGUGUGUGUAGUGUGUGUGUGUGUAGUGUAAAUAUGGGUGUAUGUGUGUAGAGUGUGUGUAGUGUAAAGAUGGGUGUAUGUGUGUAGAGUGUGUGUAGUGUGUGUGUGGUGUAAAGAUGGGUGUAUGUGUGUAGAGUGUGUGUAGUGUGUGUGUGUGGUGUAAAGAUGGGUGUAUGUGUGUAGAGAGUGUGUAGUGUGUGUGUGUAGUGUAAAGAUGGGUGUAGUGUGUGUGUGUGUGUAGUGUGAAGAUGGGUGUAUGUGUGUAGUGUGUGUGUGUGUGUGUGUGUGUGGUGUAAAGAUGGGUGUAUGUGUGUAGUGUGUGUGUGUGUAGUGUAAAGAUGGGUGUAUGUGUGUGUGUAGUGUAACGAUGGGUGUAUGUGUGUGUAGUGUGUGUGUGUGUGUAGUGUAAAUAUGGGUGUACGUGUGUAAAUGUGUGUAUGUAGUGUAACGAUGGGUGUAUGUGUGUAGAGUUUGUGUAAGUGUGUGUGUGUGUGUGUGUGUGUGUAGAGUGUGUGUGUGUGUGUGUAGAGUGUGUCUGUGUAGAGCGUGUGUGUGUGUUUGUGUAGAGUGUUGUGUUUGAGUGUGUUUGAGUGUGUGUAGUUUAAAGAUAGGUGUAUGUGUGUAGAGUGUGUGUAGUGUAAAGAUGGGUGUAUGUGUGUAGAGUGUGUGUAGUGUGUGUGUGUGGUGUAAAGAUGGGUGUAUGUGUGUAGAGUGUGUGUAGUGUGUGUGUGUGGUGUAAAGAUGGGUGUAUGUGUGUAGAGAGUGUGUAGUGUGUGUGUGUAGUGUAAAGAUGGGUGUAUGUGUGUGUGGUGUAAAGAUGGGUGUAUGUGUGUAGAGAGUGUGUAGUGUGUGUGUGUAGUGUAAAAAUGGGUGUAGUGUGUGUGUGUGUGUAGUGUGAAGAUGGGUGUAUGUGUGUGUAGUGUGUGUGUGUGUGUUGUGUGUGUGUGUGUGUAGUGUAAAGAUGGGUGUAUGUGUGUGUGUGUAGUGUAACGAUGGGUGUAUGUGUGUAGUGUGUGUGUAGUGUGAAGAUGGGUGUAUGUGUGUGUGUAGUGUGUGUUGUAAAGAUGGGUGUAUGUGUGUAGAGAGUGUGUAGUGUGUGUGUGUAGUGUAAAGAUGGGUGUAGUGUGUGUGUGUGUGUAGUGUAAAGAUGGGUGUAUGUGUGUAGAGUGUGUGUAGUGUGUGUGUGUGGUGUAAAGAUGGGUGUAUGUGUGUGUGUAGUGUAACGAUGGGUGUAUGUGUGUAGAGAGUGUGUAGUGUGUGUGUGUAGUGUAAAGAUGGGUGUAGUGUGUGUGUGUGUGUGUGUGUGUGUGUAGUGUAACGAUGGGUGUAUGUGUGUAGAGAGUGUGUAGUGUGUGUGUGUAUUGUAAAGAUGGGUGUGUGUGUGUGUGUGUGUGUAGUGUAAAGAUGGGUGUAUGUGUGUAGAGUGUGUGUAGUGUGUGUGUGGUGUGGUGUAAAGAUGGGUGUGUGUUUGUGUGUGUGUGUGUGUAGUGUAAAGAUGGGUGUAUGUGUGUAGAGAAUGUGUAGUGUGUGUGUGUAGUGUAAAGAUGGGUGUAGUGUGUGUGUGUGUAGUGUAAAGAUGGGUGUAUGUGUGUAGAGUGUGUGUAGUGUGUGUGUGUGGUGUAAAGAUGGGUGUAUGUGUGUAGAGAGUGUGUAGUGUGUGUGUAGUGUAAAGAUGGGUGUAGUGUGUGUGUGUGUGUAGUGUGAAGAUGGGUAUAUGUGUGUGUGUAGUGUGUGUGUGUGUGGUGUAAAGAUGGGUGUAUGUGUGUAGUGUGUGUGUAGUGUAAAGAUGGGUGUAUGUGUGUAGUGUGUGUAUGUAGGGUGUGUGUGUAGUUUAAAGAUGGGUGUAUGUGUGUAGAGUGUGUGUAGUGUGUGUGUAGUGUGGUGUAAAGAUGGGUGUGUUUGUGUAGUGUAAAGAUGGGUGUAUGUGUGUGUGUAGUGUAACGAUGGGUGUAUGUGUGUAGUGUGUAUGUAGUGUAAAGAUGGGUGUAUGUGUGUAGUGUGUGUAGUGUAAAGAUGGGUGUAUGUGUGUGUGUAGUGUAACGAUGGGUGUAUGUGUGUAGUGUGUGUGUAGUGUAAAGAUGGGUGUAUGUGUGUAGUGUGUGUGUAGUGUAAAGAUGGGUGUAUGUGUGUAGUGUGUGUGUAGUGUAAAGAUGGGUGUAUGUGUGUAGUGUGUGUGUAGUGUAAAGAUGGGUGUAUGUGUGUAGUGUGUGUGUAGUGUAAAGAUGGGUGUGUGUGUGUAGUGUGUGUGUAGUGUAAAGAUGGGUGUAUGUGUGUGUGUAGUGUAACGAUGGGUGUAUGUGUGUAGUGUGUAUGUAGUGUAAAGAUGGGUGUAUGUGUGUAGUGUGUGUAGUGUAAAGAUGGGUGUAUGUGUGUGUGUAGUGUAACGAUGGGUGUAUGUGUGUAGUGUGUGUGUAGUGUAAAGAUGGGUGUAUGUGUGUAGUGUGUGUGUAGUGUAAAGAUGGGUGUAUGUGUGUAGUGUGUGUGUAGUGUAAAGAUGGGUGUAUGUGUGUAGUGUGUGUGUAGUGUAAAGAUGGGUGUAUGUGUGUAGUGUGUGUGUAGUGUAAAGAUGGGUGUGUGUGUGUAGUGUGUGUGUAGUGUAAAGAUGGGUGUGUGUGUGUGUGUGUAGUGUAAAGAUGGGUGUAUGUGUGUGUGUGUGUAGUGUGUGUGUGUGUGUAGUGUAAAGAUGGGUGUAUCUGUGUAGUGUGUGUGUAGUGUAAAGAUGGGUGUGUGUGUAGUGUGUGUGUGUGUGUAGUGUAAAUAUGGGUGUACGUGUGUAAAUGUGUGAAUGUAGUGUAACGAUGGGUGUAUGUGUGUAGAGUUUGUGUAAGUGUGUGUGUGUUUGUGUGUGUAGAGUGUGUGUAGUGUGUGUGUAGUGUGGUGUAAAGAUGUGUGUGUUUGUGUGUGUGUGUGUAGUGUAAAGAUGGGUGUAUGUGUGUAGAGAGUGUGUAGUGUGUGUGUGUGUGUGUAGUGUAAAGAUGGGUGUAGUGUGUGUGUGUGUAGUGUGAAGAUGGGUGUAUGUGUGUGUAGUGUGUGUGUGUGGUGUAAAGAUGGGUGUAUGUGUGUAGUGUGUGUGUGUGUGUAGUGUAAAGAUGGGUGUAUGUGUGUGUGUGUGUAGUGUGUGUGUGUGUGUGUGUAGUGUAAAGAUGGGUGUAUCUGAGUAGUGUGUGUGUGUAGUGUAAAGAUGUGUGUGUGUGUGUGUAGUGUAAAGAUGGGUGUGUGUAGAGUGUGUGUGUAGUGUAAAGAUGGGUGUGUGUGUGUGUAGUGUAAAGAUGGGUGUAUGUGUGUGUGUGUGUGUAGUGUGUGUGUAGUGUAACGAUGGGUGCAUGUGUGUAGUGUGUGUGUAGUGUAAAGAUGGGUGUAUGUGUGUGUGUGUGUGUGUGUGUAGUGUAAAUAUGGGUGUACGUGUGUAAAUGUGUGUAUGUAGUGUAACGAUGGGUGUAUGUGUGUAGAGUUUGUGUAAGUGUGUGUGUGUUUGUGUGUGUGUGUAGUGUAAAGAUGGGUGUAUGUGUGUAGAGUGUGUGUAGUGUGUGUGUGUGUGGUGUGGUGUAAAGAUGGGUGUGUGUGUGUAGAGUGUGUGUAGUGUGUGUGUGGUGUAAAGAUGGGUGUAU